rnacentral:lncRNA from 1 species
UCCACUGUUAUCCAGGGAAGUAGAAUUACUGGCUUCAAUGUACUCCACUGUAACCACAGGGAGGUAAAAUCCGACAUCUUCGAUCUGCUCCACUACUGCUUAGGGAGAUAAGACCUGAAAUCUUCAACCUAUUCCACUGUUGUCCAGGGAAGUAGAAUUACUGGCUUCAAUGUACUCCACUGUAACCACAGGGAGGUAAAAUCCACCAUAUUCGAUCUGCUCCACUACUGCUUAAGGAGAUAAGACCUGAAAUCUUCAAUCUAUUCCACUGUUGUCCAGGGAAGUAGAAUUACUGGCUUCAAUGUACUCCACUGUAACCACAGGGAGGUAAAAUCCGCCAUCUUCGAUCUGCGUCGCUGUCAAUGCAGGAAGGUAAGAUC